rnacentral:rRNA from 1 species
CCUACGGGAGGCAGCAGUGAGGAAUAUUGGUCAAUGGACGAGAGUCUGAACCAGCCAAGUAGCGUGAAGGAUGACUGCCCUAUGGGUUGUAAACUUCUUUUAUAAAGGAAUAAAACGAGGCACGUGUGCCUUUUUGCAUGUACUUUAUGAAUAAGGAUCGGCUAACUCCGUGCCAGCAGCCGCGGUAAUACGGAGGAUCCGAGCGUUAUCCGGAUUUCUUGGGUUUAAAGGGAGCGUAGAUGGGUUGUUAAGUCAGUUGUGAAAGUUUGCGGCUCAACCGUAAAAUUGCAAUUGAUACUGGCAGUCUUGAGGACAGUUGAGGUAGGCGGAAUUCGUGGUGUAGCGGUGAAAUGCUUAGAUAUCACGAAGAACCCCGAUUGCGAAGGCAGCUUACUAAACUGUGACUGACAUUGAUGCUCGAAAGUGUGGGUAUCAAACAGGAUUAGAUACCCUAGUAGUC